rnacentral:rRNA from 1 species
CCUACGGGAGGCAGCAGUGGGGAAUAUUGCACAAUGGGCGAAAGCCUGAUGCAGCGACGCCGCGUGAGGGAUGACGGCCUUCGGGUUGUAAACCUCUUUCAGCAGGGAAGAAGCGAGAGUGACGGUACCUGCAGAAGAAGCGCCGGCUAACUACGUGCCAGCAGCCGCGGUAAUACGUAGGGCGCAAGCGUUGUCCGGAAUUAUUGGGCGUAAAGAGCUCGUAGGCGGCUUGUCACGUCGGGUGUGACAGCCCGGGGCUUAACCCCGGGUCUGCAUUCGAUACGGGCUAGCUAGAGUGUGGUAGGGGAGAUCGGAAUUCCUGGUGUAGCGGUGAAAUGCGCAGAUAUCAGGAGGAACACCGGUGGCGAAGGCGGAUCUCUGGGCCAUUACUGACGCUGAGGAGCGAAAGCGUGGGGAGCGAACAGGAUUAGAUACCCUGGUAGUCCACGCCGUAAACGGUGGGAACUAGGUGUUGGCGACAUUCCACGUCGUCGGUGCCGCAGCUAACGCAUUAAGUUCCCCGCCUGGGGNGACGCGCGAGACGAACGACGAAGAAGUGAGNGUGAGAGNGCGAGCGCGACGAGGAGAGG